rnacentral:rRNA from 1 species
AGAGUUUGAUCCUGGCUCAGAUUGAACGCUGGCGGCAUGCUUUACACAUGCAAGUCGGACGGCAGCGCGGGCUUCGGCCUGGCGGCGAGUGGCGGACGGGUGAGUAAGACAUCGGAACGUGCCACGGGGUGGGGGACAACCAGCCGAAAGGUUGGCUAAUACCGCAUGGCAUCCACGGAUUAAAGCGGGGGACCCUUUUGGGCCCCGCGCCCUGUGAGCGGCCGAUGGCUGAUUAGCUGGUUGGUGGGGUAACGGCCCACCAAGGCGACGAUCAGUAGCUGGUCUGAGAGGACGGCCAGCCACAUUGGGACUGAGACACGGCCCAAACUCCUACGGGAGGCAGCAGUGGGGAAUUUUGGACAAUGGGGGGAACCCUGAUCCAGCAAUGCCGCGUGAGUGAAGAAGGCUUUCGGGUUGUAAAGCUCUUUUGCCAGGGAAGAAAAGGGGCAGGUUAAGAGCCGGUCCUGCUGACGGUACCUGGAGAAUAAGCACCGGCUAACUACGUGCCAGCAGCCGCGGUAAUACGUAGGGUGCGAGCGUUAAUCGGAAUUACUGGGCGUAAAGCGUGCGCAGGCGGUUGUGUAAGACAGGUGUGAAAUGCCCGGGCUUAACCUGGGAACUGCACUUGUGACUGCACGGCUGGAGUGCGCCAGAGGGGGGUGGAAUUCCACGUGUAGCAGUGAAAUGCGUAGAUAUGUGGAGGAACACCGAUGGCGAAGGCAGCCCCCUGGGGUGACACUGACGCUCAUGCACGAAAGCGUGGGGAGCAAACAGGAUUAGAUACCCUGGUAGUCCACGCCCUAAACGAUGUCGACCAGCUGUCGGGCCUGCAAGGGCUAGGUAGCGAAGCCAACGCGAGAAGUCGACCGCCUGGGGAGUACGGCCGCAAGGUUAAAACUCAAAGGAAUUGACGGGGACCCGCACAAGCGGUGGAUGAUGUGGAUUAAUUCGAUGCAACGCGAAAAACCUUACCUACCCUUGACAUCCCACUGACCGGUGGUUAAUCCCACCUUUUCUUCGGAACAGUGGUGACAGGUGGUGCAUGGUUGUCGUCAGCUCGUGUCGUGAGAUGUUGGGUUAAGUCCCGCAACGAGCGCAACCCUUGUCUUUAGUAGCCAGCAGUUUAAGCUGGGCACUCUAGAGAGACUGCCAGGGAUAACCUGGAGGAAGGCGGGGAUGACGUCAAAUCAUCAUGCCCCUUACGAGCAGGGCUACACACGUGCUACAAUGGCGUAAACAAAGGGAAGCGACCCUGUGAAGGUGAGCAAAUCUCAAAAAUAACGUCUCAGUUCGGAUCGAAGUCUGCAACUCAACUUCGUGAAGUUGGAACCGCUAGUAAUCGCGAAUCAGAAUGUCGCGGUGAAUACGUUCCCGGGUCUUGUACACACCGCCCGUCACACCAUGGGAGUCGGAUAUGCCCGAAGUCAGUGACCCAACCUUAUGGAGGGAGCUGCCGAAGGUGGAGCCGAUAACUGGGGUGAAGUCGUAACAAGGUAACC